rnacentral:rRNA from 1 species
CCUACGGGAGGCAGCAGUGGGGAAUUUUGGACAAUGGGGGCAACCCUGAUCCAGCAAUGCCGCGUGAGUGAAGAAGGCCUUCGGGUUGUAAAGCUCUUUUGUCAGGGAAGAAACGGUGGGGGGAAUAACUUCUACUAAUGACGUACUGAGAUAGCCAUGC